GUAGGUGGCAAGCGUUAUCCGGGAAUUACUGGGGCGUAAAGGGCACGCAGGCGGCCAAGAAAGUCUGACGUGAAAGCUCCUGGGCUUAACUGGGAGAGGUCGUUGGAAACUGCCUGGCUUGAGGUAAUGAGAGGGGUGCGGAAUUCCCGGUGUAGUGGUGGAAUGCGUAGAUAUCGGGAGGAACACCAGUGGCGAAAGCGGCGCCCUAGCAUUGACCUGACGCUCAUGUGCGAAAGCGUGGGGAGCAAACGGGAUUAGAUACCCCGGUAGUCCACGCUGUAAACGAUGAGCACUAGGUGUGGGUAGUGUUAAAGCUAUCUGUGCCGAAGCAAACGCGAUAAGUGCUCCGCCUGGGGAGUACGGCCGCAAGGCUA
rnacentral:rRNA from 1 species